rnacentral:rRNA from 1 species
CUUCGUGCCAGCAGCCGCGGUAAUACGAAGGGACCUAGCGUAGUUCGGAAUUACUGGGCUUAAAGAGUUCGUAGGUGGUUGAAAUAGUUGGUGGUGAAAUCCCAGAGCUUAACUCUGGAACUGCCAUCAAAACUUUUCAGCUAGAGUAUGAUAGAGGAAAGCAGAAUUUCUAGUGUAGAGGUGAAAUUCGUAGAUAUUAGAAAGAAUACCAAUUGCGAAGGCAGCUUUCUGGAUCAUUACUGACACUGAGGAACGAAAGCAUGGGUAGCGAAGAGGAUUAGAUACCCUCGUAGUCCAUGCCGUAAACGAUGUGUGUUAGACGUUGGAAAUUUAUUUUCAGUGUCGCAGGGAAACCGAUAAACACACCGCCUGGGGAGUACGACCGCAAGGUUAAAACUCAAAUGAAUUGACGGGGACCCGCACAAGUAGUGGAGCAUGUGGUUUAAUUCGAAGAUACGCGCAGAACCUUACCAACACUUGACAUGUUCGUCGCGACUCUAAGAGAUUAGAGUUUUCGGUUCGGCCGGACGAAACACAGGUGCUGCAUGGCUGUCGUCAGCUCGUGUCGUGAGAUGUUGGGUUAAGUCCCGCAACGAGCGCAACCCUCACUUUUAGUUGCCAUCAUUAAGUUGGGCACUCUGAAAGAACUGCCAGUGAUAAGCUGGAGGAAGGUGGGGAUGACGUCAAGUCCUCAUGGCCCUUACGUGUUGGGCUACACACGUGCUACAAUGGCAUCUACAACAGGAAGCAAAACGGCAACGUUAAGCAAAUCCCGAAAAGAUGCCUCAGUUCGGAUUGCACUCUGCAACUCGAGUGCAUGAAGCUGGAAUUACUAGUAAUCGUGGAUCAGCGUGCCACGGUGAAUGCGUUCCCGGGUCUUGUACACACCGCCCGUCACACCAUGGGAGUUGGUUCUACCUUAAGGCAAGGUUUUAUACCCUUGACCACGGUAUAGUCAGCGACUGGGGUGAAGUCGUAACAAGGUAGCCGUAGGGGAACCUGCGGCUGGAUUACCUCCUUU